GUACUGUUUUAAUGGUCCUUUCCUGCAAUGCUGUGCUCAGUACUGCUCUAAUAGUCCUUUCCUGCAAUGCUGUGCUCAGUACUGCUCUAAUGGUCCUUACCUGCAGUGCUGUGCUUAGUACUGCUCUAAUGGCCCUUACCUGCAGUGCUGUGCUCAGUACUGCUUCAAUGGCCCUGACCUGCAGUGCUGUGCUCAGUACUUCUCUAGUGGUCCUUUCCUGCAAUGCUGUGCUCAGUACUGCUCUAAUAGUCCUUUUCUGCAAUGAUGUGCUCAGUACUGCUCUAAUGGCCCUGACCUGCAAUGCUGUGCUCAGUACUGCUCUAAUGGCCCUGACCUGCAAUGCUGUGCUCAGUACUGCUCUAAUAGUCCUGACCUGCUAU
rnacentral:lncRNA from 1 species